rnacentral:lncRNA from 1 species
CUCAGCUUCAUAAGGCUGAAAUCUGUUGUGUGAGGGCUCUCUCUGUUGCCGUCUGUUCACCAUCACCCAGCAGAUUAAGAGAUGAUUCCAAGUAUCCCAAAUCCAAGCCCACAAGCAUUUGGCAGAUGGUUCUGUGAUGAGUAACAAGCAUUUUGGAAAGGAAAUCCAUCUCCAUUUCUGAUCAGCAUUUUGGAGGUCAUGUCUUGUGAAGCAGAUAAUAAACUUCAUAUAAUAUGUUUUUGACA